rnacentral:rRNA from 1 species
UCGGGAAUUUUGCUCAAUGGGCGCAAGCCUGAAGCAGCAACGCCGCGUGAGGGAUGAAGGCCUUCGGGUUGUAAACCUCUUUUCUCAGGGACGAUGAUGACGGUACCUGAGGAAUAAGUCACGGCUAACUACGUGCCAGCAGCCGCGGUAAUACGUAGGGUGCGCGCGUUAAUCGGAAUUACUGGGCGUAAAGCGUGCGCAGGCGGUUUUGUAAGACAGAUGUGAAAUCCCCGGGCUUAACCUGGGAACUGCGUUUGUGACUGCAAGGCUGGAGUACGGCAGAGGGGGGUGGAAUUCCACGUGUAGCAGUGAAAUGCGUAGAGAUGUGGAGGAACACCGAUGGCGAAGGCAGCCCCCUGGGCCUGUACUGACGCUCAUGCACGAAAGCGUGGGGAGCAAACA